GCCAGCGCCCCCCGCCCCCUCUUUUCCUGUGGAGCGGUGGUGCUGGCGGUAUGAAGCAGAAACUUCCAGUGGUGUCCAGUAUGUUGUACACAAGCAUUAAGCCCAUCAUGGAAGCACCAUCAGAACUAGAAGAGUAUUUGGUUCACACAAGUGGAUUUUCCUGAAAGCUGUGAUGACGUGUGAACAGUUUUUAAUGUUGGAAAAGGUGAUCUUUAUGAUGAAAGAUGUCCUGGCAACUUACUACAACAGAUAGAGGGAUGCUUGAAGGUUGCUUCUUGAAGGAAAAUGCUCACAACUGUACGAACAAAUGCUUUUAAUUUGUUCAGUGAGUUGGAACGUUUUUGUCAGUGCUGCUUGACAAAUGUGGAUGAUCUGUAACUGGAAGAAAGUGUAACACCUGAAGAGAUGUUCUCGCUUGGAGUGGGACCGUGAUUUUAAAAUCCUGCUGAAACAGUUGUUGAAAUUGUUUAGCAGAAGCUGUUAUCAAAAACUGCACGUGAACCUGUAAGGGGGGCUAAUAUAAAGAUGUUAACCAAGAUGGUGGUAAAUAGUCAAAGGUUAUUAGCAAAGGAAAACUCACCAAUGUCGAUGCCUUGACUGGAUAGCUGAGGCAAU